CAAAGGAAGUUGACGGGGCCCGGCACAAGCGGUGGAGUAUGUGGUUUAAUUCGAUGCAACACGAAGAACCUUACCUGGUCUUGACAUCCCGGAGACCCUUAGGAAACUAGGGGUGCUUCCAUCUGGAAGAAUCUGGAGACAGGUGCUGCAUGGCUGUCGUCAGCUCGUGUCGUGAGAUGUUGGGUUAAGUCCCGCAACGAGCGCAACCCUUGCCUUUAGUUGCCAGCAGUUCGGCUGGGCACUCUAAAGGGACUGCCGGUGUUAAACCGGAGGAAGGUGGGGAUGACGUCAAGUCCUCAUGGCCUUUAUGACCAGGGCUACACACGUACUACAAUGGCCGAUACAAAGGGCAGCGACACUGCGAGGUGAAGCCAAUCCCGUAAAAUCGGUCUCAGUCCGGAUUGGAGUCUGCAACUCGACUCCAUGAAGUUGGAAUCGCUAGUAAUCGUGGAUCAGCAUGCCACGGUGAAUACGUUCCCGGGCCUU
rnacentral:rRNA from 1 species